GCCAGACUCCUACGGGAGGCAGCAGUGGGGAAUAUUGCGCAAUGGGGGAAACCCUGAUGCAGCGACGCCGCGUGAGUGAAGAAGUAAUUCGUUAUGUAAAGCUCUAUCAGCAGGGAAGAAAAUGACGGUACCUGAGUAAGAAGCCCCGGCUAACUACGUGCCAGCAGCCGCGGUAAUACGUAGGGGGCAAGCGUUAUCCGGAUUUACUGGGUGUAAAGGGAGCGUAGACGGCAGUGCAAGUCUGGAGGGAAAGGCGGGGGCUAAACCCCAGGAUUGCUCUGGAAACUGUAGGGCUGGAGUGCAGGAGAGGUAAGUGGAAUUCCUGGGGUAGCGGUGAAAUG
rnacentral:rRNA from 1 species